GUAGCUACACGAAAUUAAAUUCGAUGACAGAUUUGACAAACAAUAAAGUGAGUGAAUCUAAUAUAAUAUUAUGUAAAAUCUCAAUCAGUUUUAACUUUUUAGUCAUGAAAACAAUGUUACAAAGUUGGCUAAAAUAUAUAAACAAAAACAACACCAAAGUUAAACAAAUAGAAACAUAAUGAAAAUGACACAGAUAAAAAGGAUGGCGUGUCGGGAAUGGUGUCGACUCCUAUGCGGAAGGAACAAGAACAUUGUGGUUUCUCACUGGGGGCGGAAUGUUGUUCCAACAGCGGGACGCAGAAUAUUUAAAGCUUCCUCGGAAAGCGGCUGAGGCAUGACGCGGCGUCAACAGAUGAAUCCCACAAUCACGGCGUUCGCGGAGCUUGAUGCAAGAUAGCUUGUUGAAGAGAUAUGAAGGAGUUUUAUAGUUCAGUACGCCAAAGAGCAAACAAGCCAAGUGUAGUUUACGGCGGUGUUGCAUUUUGAGGAUGCUAUGGCUAUUCAGAUAUGGGGUCACGUGAGCUCUCAACGGAAUAUCGAAACAGAAGCGAGCACAGGCAUUUUGAACACGCUGUAUGAGUCGUUUAGUUUUUGCAAGAAGUCUUGGCCCAAACACAACAU